rnacentral:rRNA from 1 species
UACGUAGGCAGCGAGCGUUGUUCGGAGUUACUGGGCGUAAAGGGUGUGUAGGCGGUUUUUUAAGUUUGGUGUGAAAUCUCCCGGCUCAACCGGGAGGGUGCGCCGAAUACUGAGGGACUAGAGUACGGGAGAGGAAAGUGGAAUUCCUGGUGUAGCGGUGAAAUGCGUAGAUAUCAGGAGGAACACCGGUGGUGUAGACGGCUUUCUGGACCGUAACUGACGCUGAGACACGAAAGCGUGGGUAGCAAACAGG